GCCUGACCUCUUUUGAAGAGGUCGGACACCGACUUCUUAAGGGCGAAAGCCCUACUCACUCAAAGCAGAUAAACUGCUCCCUAAAACCUCCACUGUAUCUAGAAGGU